rnacentral:rRNA from 1 species
GACGAACGCUGGCGGCGCGCCUAACACAUGCCAGUCGAACGAGCGAGAGAGAGCUUGCUUUCUCGAGCGAGUGGCGAACGGGUGAGUAACGCGUGAGGAACCUGCCUCAAAGAGGGGGACAACAGUUGGAAACGACUGCUAAUACCGCAUAAGCCCACGGCUCGGCAUCGAGCAGGGGGAAAAGGAGCAAUCCGCUUUGAGAUGGCCUCGCGUCCGAUUAGCUAGUUGGUGAGGUAGCGGCCCACCAAGGCGACGAUCGGUAGCCGGACUGAGAGGUUGAACGGCCACAUUGGGACUGAGACACGGCCCAGACUCCUACGGGAGGCAGCAGUGGGGAAUAUUGCACAAUGGGGGAAACCCUGAUGCAGCGACGCCGCGUGGAGGAAGAAGGUCUUCGGAUUGUAAACUCCUGUUGUUGGGGAAGAUAAUGACGGUACCCAACAAGGAAGUGACGGCUAACUACGUG